rnacentral:lncRNA from 1 species
GGCGGGUGUAUUCUUUCCGCCGAUUCUGUUGAAAAACUUUUCUUAAACGGAAGCAAACGGAAUGAAACUGGGAUAAACAUACAUCAAUUUGUCCAAUAGGAACUCUUGUUUGCAACUGUUGGACUAAUGAUUACACCCUAUGUCCGCUAGAUGCAAGCAAGAGUGUGCGACGCGGUAAUGAAUGUGUCACUGUUUUUCCAUGUGUCACUGUCUGUCACCUCAAAUCUUUCUCUCGACCUGUGUGCACCUAUGUUGAAUUCAUAGGCUAGGUUGUAGCAACCUCAUGAUGGGGAUAGGAAGAAUUUGAUUAUCAUGUAGUAGCCUAAACCUAUCGAUGUUAAACUGGGUGGAUGGAAUAUGAAUGACAGUCCUCCAAUAUGCUGUAAUAGAAAUAAGGCCAUGCUCAUAAAAUUAAUAAUCGUCCUCCCUGAUCUUAAACGGCACCGACCGCCACUACGAUGGAGCAACAGUCUGCCAAUGACCUUCCACUUCCCCACCACCACCAACAAACUAAAGGCCUGUCAUCGGAUCCCCGUUCUCCUAGUGGCGGGGGGUUUCGAUGCAAGGUGCCCAGCAUAGGGCGACCUGUCAUCAGCAUCUGGCUUCCUCGGAGACGAGGCUUACCCAAAACUAUUCAAUACAAUUCCAUAUUGUGUCCUGUCUCUGUUGUCAUUCAGCUAAGCCUGCACUCAAUUGAAUGUAUGUUUUGAGAAGGCAACUACAUUUGAAAAAGCGUUUGCUGUUUUACAAAUGGCCACACACUUCUGUGUCUUGUGAACUGGGUUUUGAAUAUUGACAUUGUUGUUCCAUAAACAAAAAUGCUUGUAUGCGAUUGAUAAAAAGUGUAAUCAGAAUAAUCAGGAAACAUAGUGGGCACAUAUUGUAUUUUUUUAAAUGUUAUUACCCGAUUCUUAAGAUCUGAAGUAGAGCCAAACAGAAAAGGACCAGCAUAAUGUUGUACGUAGGUUGCAAUUAUAUACCUACCCAUGAAGCCAAGUCCGUACAGUCAAUGCCAAGUCCAUACAUACAGCCAAGAUUAUAUGUUGGUUAAUUGGGAUGAUAAUUCUGCAUGACAAGGAAGCUGAGACCAGAAUAGAGCUGAAGAAAAGGCUCAUUGUGCCAAAAGCAGCCCACACACAAGCACUGAUCCUCUCUCUUUCAGCACUUGUCUGUUCUGGGAAGAAAACAAACAUUUGGUUGAUUGGCUUCAGUUGACCAUGGUAACGGGGGCGAAGCAGCCAAAUACGGGGCGAGUCAAAAAAAAAUCUGCUCUUACAUACAAGAUGGCUCUCUGAUGUUGUGGGUGGUGGUGUUGUGUGUGUGCUUCUCCCCAGGCUGGUUUCAGAUGGCACCUCCACCCUGGGUGCAACUGUCUGAAUCUAUGUGAUUACAGUAUUGCUCAAUAUCCUUGAAAUAGCUACAAUAUUGUUACAAUAUUGCCAUGUUUGAAUGAAAUGAUAUUACACAUAAUUCUUUGACUUUCCUCUGUUGCUGCGGUUACGACAAGGGGUGGCGUUUUCUUUGGAGCUUGGGUUGUGAUUCAAUAUCUACGGUAUACCAUAUGUAUAGCUCAGACCAAACUAACUAUAGUUAAGUAAGAGACUAGCACUAAACUGAGGGAUAAAUCCAAACAAAGAAUAAACCCCCAUUCACUGGAACAACAUCAAUAAUGGCCCUGCAAUGAAUAAAAACCUCAUUUCAAUUGACGCACACAUUUCCAUUUAGGUCUUAUAUACAGUAGCUUUAGAUGUAUGGCACACCCUUUCAUUCAUUUCAUGUGGAUCAAAUUCAGGCUCUUUGCUCUAAUACUGUCUGAGGAUUAUCACCUUCAGACUCAUGUUUCCAAUGUCAAUUCAAUCCAUUAUUUUUCCAUUCCUGGGUUUUCUUUGAAAUUUAAGUGCUGAUUUGAGUGCUGAGACUGUCUUUGCCCCCUGACAGUGGGCAAGAGUCCUCCUCCUGUCAUUUCUUCACUCAAUAUUCAUGGAUUCAUUCAGAUCUGAAACACAUAACCAUCCCGAGGCUAGCUGAAGUUCCGCUGCCUCCUGGUGUCAAGUUGUCAAU